UAAAAAAACAAACCCUGGUUUCCGUGCCUAACGUUUGACCGUCCGUCUUAUUUGAAAAAAUUAUAAAAAAGAUUAAAAGGACAAGUCACACAUAAAAUAUUAAUUAUAUUUUAUCAUCUAGCAACAAUAAAAAUACGAAUUAUAAAAAAAUUUCAUAUAAGACGGAUAGUCAAAGUUGGACACGAAAAUCCAUGGUUUGUCUUUUU
rnacentral:pre_miRNA from 1 species